rnacentral:rRNA from 1 species
UACGAAGGGGGCUAGCGUUACUCGGAUUGACUGGGCGUAAAGGGCGCGUAGGCGGUUUGUACAGUCAGACGUGAAAUUCCUGGGCUCAACCUGGGGGGCUGCGUUUGAUACGUGCAGACUUGAGUUCGGAAGAGGGUCGUGGAAUUCCCAGUGUAGAGGUGAAAUUCGUAGAUAUUGGGAAGAACACCGGUGGCGAAGGCGGCGACCUGGUCCGAUACUGACGCUGAGGCGCGAAAGCGUGAGGAGCAAACAGG